GAGGCGUCCACCAAGGGCCUGACCGACUCAGCCCUCAGAGCCAAUGCUUUUCCCAAGGUUACGGAUCUGUUUUGCCGACUUCCCUUACCUACAUUGGUCUAUCGACUAGAGGCUGUUCACCUUGGAGACCUGCUGUGGUU
rnacentral:lncRNA from 1 species